CCUACGGGGGGCAGCAGUGGGGAAUAUUGGACAAUGGGGGGAACCCUGAUCCAGCCAUGCCGCGUGUGUGAAGAAGGCCCUCGGGUUGUAAAGCACUUUCAGUGAGGAAGAACGCCUGGUGGUUAAUACCCAUCAGGAAAGACAUCACUCACAGAAGAAGCACCGGCUAACUCCGUGCCAGCAGCCGCGGUAAUACGGAGGGUGCGAGCGUUAAUCGGAAUUACUGGGCGUAAAGCGCGCGUAGGUGGCUUGAUAAGCCGGUUGUGAAAGCCCCGGGCUCAACCUGGGAACGGCAUCCGGAACUGUCAAGCUAGAGUGCAGAAGAGGAAGGUAGAAUUCCCGGUGUAGCGGUGAAAUGCGUAGAGAUCGGGAGGAAUACCAGUGGCGAAGGCGGCCUUCUAGACUGACACUGACACUGAGGUGCGAAAGCGUGGGUAGCAAACAGGAUUAGAUACCCCGGUAGUC
rnacentral:rRNA from 1 species